GAGGGUAGAGCUCAGUGGUAGAGCACAUCCUUAGCAUGCACGAGGUCCUGGGUUCAAUCCCCAGCACCUCCA
rnacentral:tRNA from 1 species